UGAUAUAAUCCAUUUAACGUGUUACGCGCUCAAUUACUAUACUUGAUCUAAUUUAAUUUUAAUUUUUUUUUUCACUGAGCACGUACUCGAACCGUUUUAUUUCGUUUUUUAAUAAGAUUUGGAACAGUUAUUAUAACAAAGAUUAUUGCAUUUUAUAAUAUAUUAUAUAAGUACCUACACCUUUUACUUGCAAUCAUAAUUUAAAAUAAAAUAUUACAAUCAAAAUAUUUAAAAGACGAUACAAUAAACGCAGCACUGGGUAGAUAGCUACAGUAUAGGAAUCUAUUUUGAAUUUGCUCCCUAAACGAACCAUUGUAGUACAUAUAAAAAGCCUCGCGCAAAAACAAAACGUACAAAAUAACAAAACAAAAUAAUCGAUAAACGCGGUCUCUAUAAUUCUGUAUAAUAUUAUAUAAUACGCACGAAAUACCGUUCGGUCGACAUCAAACUCUUUUAGACUGACCCGCGUAUAGUAAUUGUGCGGAACAAACCGUUCCGAGCCCAUUUUCUAACAGCACUAAUAUUAUUUAUAUUUUUAGUUUUUCAUGAUAAGUUUCUUAAAAGUUCGGUUUUAUACGAUAAUCGGUGGUGUGCAGCAUAGAUAUAUUACACAUUGUUGACAAACCAUCACUAUCAACUGAACUCCGCUCAGAAUCGUUUUUUCGUUAGAAAUGGUUUUUAUCAUUUUGCUCACAGAUGUACAUUAAAUUCCCUUCUGUGUGUUCUACCUCCCCAACGUUCUACCUACAACAGUGGCUGCACCCGUUCCCAUUAUCCUAGGACAGCUUCUUUUUAAACGUAAUAAUAAUGAUCAUAGUCUAAAAAACCAAAAUAUUUAAUUUACUGAUUACAAAUUUAAUGGUGAACUUUUCCUCGUGACUCGGCUCAAAUACAGCAUAUUACGUUUCAAGAAUGAUAUACUAAAUAAACACCCAUAUAAUUCAAACCAAUGUAUAGGGGAGGGAGAUAUUAUAAUCUCUAACCUCUCGCCCCCUCUGCGUGGGUACGCCACCGACAAUAAUAAAUAAAUACUAAGUGCACGCGACGUCUCGCCGCAGGAUUCAUGUGACGAGUGAACCGAAUAAACCGUUCCGUUAAAAAAAAAAAUAAAAAACAUACCUACUACGGGCCUUGUGGCUAUGGACGAACGAAAACAAAAACUUAAAUUGUAUAAAUACUAUAGCCACUGUGUAUACAUAUACACAUGUAUACACAUAUAAUUAUUAUACUAUAAAGCACGUAUUACACAAAAGGUUCGUGAUAUCGACGACGCUGAAUAUUAAUAAUAUUGUUAUUAAUAUAUAAUGUAUAUUAUCUGAAAUCUCGGAGAGUAAUAUUAUAAUAUCGCGACGUACAACACGAUUUUUCUUUUUUAAAUUCUGCACGGUUCGAAGUAUGUAUCGGUUUUACUAUGAUGUGUUUUUUUUUUUUUUUAUUUUCAAUCUAAUGUAUCGUACAGGUACACUACGCCCACAAGCAUAUAUGAAAAAUGAUCGAUUGUUAAACGUCAUACUGAAGGGUCCCUUCUAAGCAUUUUUUUUUUUGCUAUCGCGAAUACGACUUUGUUUUCAUUUGACCAAGGUCGACUUAUUGUGUUAAACAUAAUAAUAAUCACGAAAUGAUAAUUUACACGUAGGUAUAAUGUACCGAAAGACUGCGAACGCCGCAUUCUAAAUUCCACCGCGGUAUCUCGCGCGCAUUUUGUUUUUUGUGUAUCGCUCGUAUUGACACACAGUCACACACAUCAUUAAUCUAUCAAUAAUAUAACUUACAGCGAUAAGCGAGAACGCUAGUAAUAACAAUAAUAAUCGCCAGGACCUUCGAAGCUCGUAACAAUAUUAUAAAAAUACAAGACAUCAUGAUAACACAGGACGUAAUAAUAACACGUCGGAAUAAUGUCAUAAUAUUAUCGCGGUAUUGUACAUAUUGUUACGAUAGAGGUACACGCGGUUUGUUGACCCGUCGCAAAUAAUACAAACUUUAUCAUCACUUUUGAUUAUUAUUGUAUUGAUACUGUAUAUUUUGAUAUCGCUCGGAAAGCCGCGACGCGAUCGAACGAGUGUUGUACAAAUAAUAAUUUCGAACGCGAAUAUUUCAAUAUUGACAGUUUUAGAACCAAAAUAAUAUUUCGUUUCGACCUUCGAGUUAUUUACAAUUGUUAUAUUCCGAAAUACACUAUGACGGCCCAUCACGAUUCAGAGUUAACACUAGAAAUUGAUUAGUCUAAAUACACAAUACGAUUUUUUCUUCUGAUAUUCAACUUUCGGGUAGUUCGCUAAACGUGUGGAGUGUUUGUUGCAACAUAAAUUUAAUUUCCGUAUCCAACGGUUAUCGUUUAUAUAAAUACAACCCCAACGCUUUGAAUUAAUAAAUCCGCCAGAAUUUCAACUUCAUAAAUGCCUUAACUAUUUAGUAGGUAUGUUAUAAACGCUGUAAUAGACAAUGAAUACAAUAUUUCCAUUGUUUUCAAAAGAUAAUUAGGUAGGCGGGUAAUGCUAUAAUUUAUUAAUGUGUACACAAUUAAAACUAAUGUUUGUUCCUAUUUUAUGCAUGGAACAUGGUUCGUGAAUUUUAAAAUUCCAAAAGAUCCGUUGUUAAUAUUGACAAUCAUUUCGAGUUUGAUAAUAAUAUUAUUGUCUAAAAUAACUUUCUUUUUAUAAAAAUAAAUUUUAUUUCACCUGAUGUAGAAAAAGAACAAUGGCAUAGGAUGCACACAAAAGAGUUGCGUGAAAUAACGAAAUUACCAUGCAUAUUGAAAGGCAGAUAAUGUUAUGGUCUUGGCAUAAAAAUGCGUAUACGGGCAAAAGUCCGAGCAGCUAUAAAGUAAAAACUAACGGAUAAAAGGCUAAGGAGUAGACUCUCUUUUUUGGGGAUAUUGAGUUUUAAAUAAAAUUAUUACUCUGUUUAUCUAUAAAUUACCUUAAUAAUUUUAAACAUUAUAAUUACUGAGCUGUUUAAUUUACUUACAAAAUAUUUGUUUAUCUGCACACCUAAUAAUAAUUGUCAUAUUUAUGCACUGGGACUUGUUUUAAUAAUUUCUAUUCAAACUGUCGUCGUUUAAUUGGAAAAUUUUACAUUUUAUCGCCCUAAAAACAUUUUAAUUACUGCAUUUACUACUUAUAUACAGAGUGGUUAUUUUUUGUCGCAAUCCCGCCAUUCCCAAUUAAAAUACUUUCUAUCCAAUUUUGCUCAAAAUCUUCGUAGAUAAUUAUGGAUGGAUCGUGAUUAAAAAAAAACAUAUGAGUAGCAAAGCUCCUCACCAGAGUGACUAGUAGAAUCGAGUUUUCCGUCAGCUAAACGUCAGCAGGCUUGUUGCCAUUACAAUAUUUAAUGUUUUAUUUGUAUAAUUAAUUAAAAUAUUUUGGCGUUGGAUUUGCGCUAACAUACAGACAGUGGGUCGAAAGUUGAAUGCUCAAACCUUCGAAAGGCAUCGCCUUGGCAAUAUUUCAAUUUAUAUACCAUACACAUUUUAACAAAAUUGUUUACUUUUAUAAUUCUGUUAGAGUAUUUAAAACCCGGUGUAUCCUGUGAAAACAUUAAAUCUGAGUAUACGAAUAGUUCGGAAGGGAUUGAAACGAUAAAGGCACAUGCUUGGUACAUAUACCGUGUAUAUAAAAUAUUACAGCCCCCUGGCUUCAUUUUGGAGGUUUGUAGUAGUGCACAAAUCUAAAAAACACCCUUUUCACCCAAAAAAUGGCGAAGUUCAUAUUUAAAUUCAAUCAUAAAUUUAUCUCUUCAAUCAACGUAUAAAAAAAAAAAAACUCGAAUUCCCGAGUUUGAGGUUAUUUGAUUUUAUAAAAGUGUCCAAAAGUACCGAGAAAUAUAUAUUAUAAACAUGUAAUGUAUAAAUUACAAAAUAUAGCGCAACGUCUUUUUUUUCGGGGAAAAUUUAACGAAAAAAAAAAAUCACUCAGUAUAUCAUGUUGUUUUUCUUAUUUAUUAUUUUAUUUCAUAAUAAUUUUUUAGCUAAUCUAUUAAAGUAUAUAGAAAUAAUAUCAUCAUUGCGUUAUUAUAAUAAGUCUGAAGUGGUUUAAUUUUUAUUUAAUAAUUAUAUUUCUAAUAUACUUAUACAGAGGUCUACUAUACAGUCAAUAUUUAGGUACGAUUGCCUAAUAGUACAAAUUACGUAUACGGAGCCAUAAUAAUAAUAUGUAAUCUUUUAUUCUGAUUAAAAUUAUAAUGAUGUAAUCAUAAAGUAUACAUCAUGAUGUAAGGAU